rnacentral:lncRNA from 1 species
GUUUCCAUAGGUGCCACGUCGGUGGAGAGUCCAGACCAGGUGUCCACCGUGCGCAUUCCCCCUGAAUACGCCGAUUUGGCGAUCGCUUUUUGUAAAAAGAGAGCGACUAAAUUACCACCUCAUCGACAAGGGGAUUUUGCGAUAGAUCUCCAGGUUAACGCUGCGCUUCCCAGGAGUCACGUGUACCCCUUGUCACAAGAGGAGACGGCGGCUAUGGAGUCCUUGGGACAGGGGUACAUUCGGCCCUCCAUCUCACCCGCUUCCUCAAGUUUCUUUUUUUUUAAGAAAAAGGAGGGAGGUCUGCGUCCGUGCAUUGAUUAUAGAGGUCUAAACGCGAUCACGGUGGGGUUUAGUUACCCACUACCUCUUAUCGCUACGGCGGUGGAAUCAUUUCACGGAGCACAGUUCUUCACAAAAUUGGAUCUCAGGAGCGCGUAUAACCUGUGUGUGUUAGGGUACCAGCCAGUCCUGGCCCCAUGGCACCAGAGCCAGACCGAGGCUCCUGCGGUGGAGGACUGGGUUCAGCACUACAAGGAGACCUGGAAAGCAGUACAGGACUCACUGAAGGAGGCCAGUGCUAGGCAGAAAAGGAGUGCUGACCGCCACCGCGGUGAGGCGCCGGUGUUCGCACCGGGUGACAGGGUCUGGCUCUCGACCCGGAACCUGUCCCUCCGCGUGCCCUGCCGGAAGCUGGGGCCGCAGUGUGUGGGGCCCUUCAAAGUCCUGAGGAGGAUAAACGAGGUGUGUUAUCGGUUGCAACUCCCUUCCUAUUACCGUAUUAACCCCUCGUUUCAUGUGUCUCUCCUCAGGCCGGUGGUGGCUGGUCCCCUACAAGAAGAUGAGGUGCCGGAGGUCCCUCCACCCCCCCCCUGGACAUCGGGGGGUCCCCGGCGUACAGCGUAAGGGCCAUUCUGGACUCGAGACGCUGGGCGGGGGGCCUGCAGUACCUCGUGGACUGGGAGGGGUACGGUCCGGAGGAGAGGUGCUGGGUGCCGGCGGAGGACGUCUUGGACCCAUCCAUGUUGAAGGAGUUCCACCGCCACCGUCCGGAUCGCCCUGCGUCUCGUCCUCCGGGUCGGCCUCGAGGCCGGUGUCGGCGCGCUGCUGGAGCCGCGCGUCAGGAGGGGGGUACUGUCACGAUUCCUACCGACGGUGGCGCCCCCUCCUGCUCGGGUGGCGCUCGGCGGUCGUCGUCACCGGCCUAUUAGCUACAACCGAUUCCCUUUUUGUUUUUCCCUUUUUUUAUGUUUUCUCACCUGCCCUGAGUUAGUCAUUAAGAGGGCUAUUUAGUUCAGCUGGUCCGCUCCCUAUUGUGCGGGAUUGUCUUUCUGUGUGUCGACUGCGUUUUGUUCGACUGUGCUUGUCGAGUGUAUUUUCCCUGUUGUUGGGAAACCUUUUAUUUUGUGCUUGUGGUUUAUUACAAUUACCACACAGUGUUCGCUGCUUCCUGCGCUUCUUUCCGCCACACAACAGACAAGCUGUUACAGGAUCCCAUGACGGGCCGGUCAUUGUCCGGGAAACAAAAGUGACUUUUUUUGGUUCUGCUGGGAGUAUGUUUGGAGAGCUGCUUCGUAGUUAUUGUAGCAAUAUUGAUGUUACACAGGAAACGGAAACCAGUUGUUACUUACU